CCGAGUUUACAACUCCCAAACCCCUGUGAACAUACCUAUAUGUUGCCUCGGCGGAUCAGCCCGCUCCCCGGUAAAACGGGACGGCCCGCCAGCAGGACCCACUAAACUCUGUUUUCUAUAUGUAACUUCUGAGUAACAAAACAUAAAUAAAUCA
rnacentral:misc_RNA from 1 species